GAUGAACGCUGGCGGCGUGCCUAAUACAUGCAAGUCGAGCGAAUGGAUUAAGAGCUUGCUCUUAUGAAGUUAGCGGCGGACGGGUGAGUAACACGUGGGUAACCUGCCCAUAAGACUGGGAUAACUCCGGGAAACCGGGGCGAAUACCGGAUAAUAUUUUGAACUGAAUGGUUCAAAAUUGAAAGGCGGCUUAGGCUGUCACUUAUGGAUGGAUCCGCGGUGCAUUAGCUAGUUGGUGAGGUAACGGCUCACCAAGGCAACGAUGCGUAGCCGACCUGAGAGGGUGAUCGGCCACACUGGGACUGAGACACGGCCCAGACUCCUACGGGAGGCAGCAGUAGGGAAUCUUCCGCAAUGGACGAAAGUCUGACGGAGCAACGCCGCGUGAGUGAUGAAGGCUUUCGGGUCGUAAAACUCUGUUGUUAGGGAAGAACAAGUGCUAGUUGAAUAAGCUGGCACCUUGACGGUACCUAACCAGAAAGCCACGGCUAACUACGUGCCAGCCGCCGCCGUAA
rnacentral:rRNA from 1 species